UUGGGAGCUAACUGGCUUCGGAGUUAUGGGAACUCCGAAGUUAAGCGAGUUUAGGCUAAAGCAAUCCCAGGAUGGGUGACCCACUGGGAAGUUGCUCGUGAGUUCACAGA
rnacentral:rRNA from 1 species